GAUGAACGCUGGCGGCGUGCCUAAUACAUGCAAGUCGAGCGAACAGAUGAGGAGCUUGCUCCUCUGACGUUAGCGGCGGACGGGUGAGUAACACGUGGAUAACCUACCUAUAAGACUGGGAUAACUUCGGGAAACCGGAGCUAAUACCGGAUAAUAUAUUGAACCGCAUGGUUCAAUAGUGAAAGACGGUUUUGCUGUCACUUAUAGAUGGAUCCGUGCCGCAUUAGCUAGUUGGUAAGGUAACGGCUUACCAAGGCAACGAUGAGUAGCCGACCUGAGAGGGUGAUCGGCCACACUGGAACUGAGGCACGGUCCAGACUCCUACGGGAGGCAGCAGUAGGGAAUCUUCCGCAAUGGGCGAAAGCCUGACGGAGCAACGCCGCGUGAGUGAUGAAGGUCUUCGGAUCGUAAAACUCUGUUAUUAGGGAAGAACAAAUGUGUAAGUAACUAUGCACGUCUUGACGGUACCUAAUCAGAAAGCCACGGCUAACUACGUG
rnacentral:rRNA from 1 species